CCAUUUUUCUUUGAUUCCUUCAAAGUCCCAAAACUGGACGAACACUCCUUGUUUCUAGGCCGUCAUCCUCAUCAGAAAAGCUCUGUGAAUCUGCAGCGCUAACAGGAAUGACCUGCAGCGUGGAUGUCGGCAGUUUCAUGCAAGAGCGCACCUGUGGAACCCUGUACAUCUGUCAGCACCCAGGAUCAGCUGCUGCUGUGACAGGUUUCCCAGAGACUAUGGGUUGAGGAGGAAUUGGAAAUCUGUCGGCUUAGACCUGGUGUCAUUCCAUCAAUGUUAAACUUCCCGGCUCAUCUUGGAAGAGUACGUGCCAGAAAGACCACGACCAAGCAGCCUUGAGAUCUUAGGCAGCGUCUCCCUGAGGUCCCUCUCUAUCUCCCCACACAUCCACCAACCACUGGAACACAUCUCCAAAGUUCUGCUGGACCAGCUCAGCUUCCCCUCAGAAGAAGUGCCGCCACCUGCCAGAUGAAGGAGCCUUUUGAGAGGCAGCUGGCAUCGUGAUUGGACUGUACUUUGGUCUGUUCCAAUCCAGCUUCAGCACCAGAGACGGCAGGCGGGACGAGUCAACGGAGGCCGGGUGGACGAAGACAUGCAGCUGAGUACAAUCCAGAAAACAACAGAGGAGGAGUGCAG
ensembl:lncRNA